GACGAACCGUACGAACGUUAUUCGGAAUCACUGGGCUUAAAGGGUGCGUAGACGGCGCGACAAGUUGGGUGUGAAAUCCCUCGGCUCAACCGAGGAACUGCGCCCAAAACUGUCGUGCUCGAGGGAGACAGAGGUGAGCGGAACUUAGGGUGGAGCGGUGAAAUGCGUUGAUAUCCUAAGGAACACCGGUGGCGAAAGCGGCUCACUGGGUCUCUUCUGACGCUGAGGCACGAAAGCUAGGGUAGCGAACGGG
rnacentral:rRNA from 1 species